GAGCCCUGCCGCGUGUGUGAGAAGGUCUUCGGAUUGUAAAGCACUUUUAGUUGGGAGGAAGGGCAGUAAGCUAAUACCUUGCUGUUUUGACGUUACCGACAGAAUAAGCACCGGCUAACUCUGUGCCAGCAGCCGCGGUAAUUA
rnacentral:rRNA from 1 species